rnacentral:rRNA from 1 species
GGCUCAGAGUGAACGCUGGCGGCGUGCUUAACACAUGCAAGUCGAACGAGAACGGGAUAUAGCUUGCUAUAUUUGUCAGCUAAGUGGCGCACGGGUGAGUAAUGUAUAGGUAAUAUGCCUCUUACUAAGGGAUAACAAAUGGAAACGUUUGCUAAUACCUUAUACUCCUUAUUAACAGAAGUUAAUAAGGGAAAGAUUUAUCGGUAAGAGAUUAGCCUGUACAGUAUCAGUUAGUUGGUGAGGUAAUGGCUCACCAAGACUAUGACACUUAACUGGUUUGAGAGGAUGAUCAGUCACACUGGAACUGAGACACGGUCCAGACUCCUACGGGAGGCAGCAGUGGGGAAUAUUGCACAAUGGACGGAAGUCUGAUGCAGCAACGCCGCGUGGAGGAUGACACAUUUCGGUGCGUAAACUCCUUUUAUAUGAGAAGAUAAUGACGGUAUCAUAUGAAUAAGCACCGGCUAACUCCGUG